UACGGGGGGGGCAAGCGUUGUUCGGAAUUACUGGGCGUAAAGGGCUCGUAGGCGGCCAACUAAGUCAGACGUGAAAUCCCUCGGCUUAACCGGGGAACUGCGUCUGAUACUGGAUGGCUUGAGUUUGGGAGAGGGAUGCGGAAUUCCAGGUGUAGCGGUGAAAUGCGUAGAUAUUGGGAGGAACACCAGUGGCGAAGGCGGCUCACUGGACCGGAACUGACGCUGAGGCGCGAAAGCGUGGGGAGCAAACAGG
rnacentral:rRNA from 1 species